UGAACUAAAUGCAGGUGCUCUCUCACU
rnacentral:piRNA from 1 species